rnacentral:rRNA from 1 species
UACGUAGGCAGCAAGCGUUGUUCGGAGUUACUGGGCGUAAAGGGUGCGUAGGUGGCUCUAUAAGUAUGGUGUGAAAUCUCCCGGCUUAACUGGGAGGGUGCGCCGUAGACUGUGGGGCUAGAGUGUGGGAGAGGAAAGUGGAAUUCCUGGUGUAGCGGUGAAAUGCGUAGAUAUCAGGAGGAACACCGGUGGUGUAAACGGCUUUCUGGACCAUAACUGACACUGGAGGCACGAAAAGCGUGGGUAGCAAACAGG